GCGUGGGUGGCUCAGUUGGUUGAGUGCCUGACUUCGGCUCAGGUCAUGAUCUCGUGGUCUAUGAGUUCAAGCCCCGCGUU
rnacentral:tRNA from 1 species